rnacentral:rRNA from 1 species
CACGUAGGGUGCAAGCAUUAAUCGGAUUUAUUGGGCGUAAAGGGCGCGUAGGCUGGAAAGAAAGUCAGAUGUGAAAUCCCGGGGCUCAACCCCGGAACAGCAUUUGAAACUUCUUUUCUAGAGGGUAGGCGGAGAAAAUGGAAUUCCACAAGUAGCGGUGAAAUGCGUAGAUAUGUGGAAGAACACCAGUGGCGAAGGCGGUUUUCUAGCUUAUACCUGACGCUGAGGCGCGAAAGCAAGGGGAUCAAACAGG